rnacentral:tRNA from 1 species
CGAAGAAUAGUUUAGUUUAGAAUCCUGGCUUUGGGAGUCAGGGGUAGGGGUUGAAAUCCUCGA